GGUGCUGGCGUUCCGCAUCGGUAUAUCGAACCGGAUGUAGACGAGAUCGUAGUCGUUGUGCAGCGAACGCUUGCGGCGCAGUUUCCGAUGGUUCAGUGUGUGAUCUGGAAUAUGGGGGAAGGAAAGAUAUAUAGGUCACGUAACCAACUUCGCUCACCUGAACCGGGAAAGCGGAAGAGCUGCCGCUGCUCGUACCAACCGUCCUCGGUCGUCCCGGCCAGGGUACGGCGACGGUUGACACGCUCCAAGUACUCUGCAUACUUCGUCUCGUACUCCUGCUGGCUGAUAUCCAUCUGCGGAAGAAGAAGAGGAAGAAGAAGGAGCAGCAGAAUAGUAAGUGUGUGAGGAAUAAAUUACGGACAGCAAAAAUAUGUCUAUAUGUACCCCGGCGGACGAUGGAGAAAGAAGCGAAAGCAAACAGCAGACCGUUACGGCCGUCAUGGCAUUUUUUGAAAAGUCAACGGAGAGGAUAUGAUGGGAAAACCGUCAAACCGCGCGAAAAAAAAGACCUCGACCUCGGCGUGCAAUUCAAAUCUGACCUGCCGAAGCUACCGGGUAAGCGUUUGCCUAUCUUAUUAUUAACUUUGAAUUUGUAAAACUUGACGGUGGACCUUGAACACGGGGUCCGACGAAAUCAUCCAACACCUAUGGCGGUCCAAUAUUUUGUUUACUGCGCCCCGUACACUGACCAUAUGUGUGUGUGUGCGAAUGUG